UAUAUUUAAGUGUAUCAAAAUGCAUUUAAAUUUUUGAAAUUUAAGGUUUAGUUUAAUUCUAAAAAUAUAA
rnacentral:tRNA from 1 species